rnacentral:rRNA from 1 species
GACGAACGCUGGCGGCGUGCUUAACACAUGCAAGUCGAACGGAAAGGCCCUGCUUUUGUGGGGUGCUCGAGUGGCGAACGGGUGAGUAACACGUGAGUAACCUGCCCUUGACUUUGGGAUAACUUCAGGAAACUGGGGCUAAUACCGGAUAGGAGCUCCUGCUGCAUGGUGGGGGUUGGAAAGUUUCGGCGGUUGGGGAUGGACUCGCGGCUUAUGAGCUUGUUGGUGGGGUAGUGGCUUACCAAGGCUUUGACGGGUAGCCGGCCUGCGAGGGUGACCGGCCACAUUGGGCCUGAGCUACGGCACAGACUCCUACGGGAGGCAGCAGUGGGGAAUAUUGCACAAUGGGAGGAAGCCUGAUGCAGUCAAGCCGCGUGCGGGAUGACGGGCUUCGGGUUGUAAACCGCUUUCGCCUGUGACGAAGCGUGAGUGACGGUAAUGGGUGAAGAAGCACCGGCUAACUACGUG